GACGAACGCUGGCGGCGUGCUUAACACAUGCAAGUCGUACGGUAAGGCCCUUUCGGGGGUACACGAGUGGCGAACGGGAGAGUAACACGUGAGUAACCUGCCCACAACUUUGGGAUAACGCUAGGAAACUGGUGCUAAUACUGGAUAUGUGCUCCUGCUGCAUGGUGGGGGUUGGAAAGCUCCGGCGGUUGUGGAUGGACUCGCGGCCUAUCAGCUUGUUGGUGGGGUAGUGGCCUACCAAGGCGGCGACGGGUAGCCGGCCUGAGAGGGUGACCGGCCACAUUGGGACUGAGAUACGGCCCAGACUCCUACGGGAGGCAGCAGUGGGGAAUAUUGCACAAUGGGCGCAAGCCUGAUGCAGCAACGCCGCGUGCGGGAUGACGGCCUUCGGGUUGUAAACCGCUUUCAGCAGGGACGAAGCUUUUUGUGACGGUACCUGCAGAAGAAGCACCGGCUAACUACGUG
rnacentral:rRNA from 1 species